rnacentral:rRNA from 1 species
GGGGAAUCUUGGACAAUGGGCGCAAGCCUGAUCCAGCCAUGCCGCGUGAGUGAAGAAGGCCUUAGGGUUGUAAAGCUCUUUUGGCAGGGACGAUAAUGACGGUACCUGCAGAAUAAGCCCCGGCAAACUUCGUGCCAGCAGCCGCGGUAAUACGAAGGGGGCUAGCGUUGUUCGGAUUUACUGGGCGUAAAGCGCACGUAGGCGGAUUGUUAAGUCAGGGGUGAAAUCCCGGAGCUCAACUCCGGAACUGCCUUUGAUACUGGAAAUCUUGAGGCUGGAAGAGGUUGGUAGAAUUCCCAGCGUAGAGGUGAAAUUCGUAGCUAUUGGGAAGAAUACCAGUGGCGAAGGCGGCAAACUGGUCCAGAUCUGACGCUGAGGUGCGAAAGCGUGGGGAGCAAACA